UUUGGUUUGUGUUGCGGUUGGGUUCGGAAGGUUCAUGGUGGCUGCAAGUGUGCUGACGCUUGUCCCGGAAUCACAGCAGCUUUGAUGAUGUUGGCAAAUGACUUCUUUGGAUCUCACUCCCGACGUCUUAUGGAUUUGCCGCUGAAGUAGUGUCGCCAAAGCGGGAAUGCAGAUGGGUUUAACCGCCGUUGCUGGCGGUGGAAGCUGCUUUAGGUCAAGGCGACAUAUUUUACUUGCGGAAGACAAUGCUCUUGUCUUAGAUCUAGUGUUUUCGUUUCAAU
rnacentral:lncRNA from 1 species